AUUGAACGCUGGCGGCAGGCCUAACACAUGCAAGUCGAACGAGUGGCGGACGGGUGAGCAAUGUCUGGGAAACUGCUUGAUGGAGGGGGAUAACUCCUGGAAACGGUAGCUAAUACCGCUUACCAUCAGAUGUGCCCAGAUGGGAUUAGCUAGUUGGUGGGGUAACUGCUCACCAAGGCGACGAUCCAUAGCUGGUCUGAGAGGAAUACCCGCCACACUGGAGCUGAUACACGGUCCAGACUCCUGCGAGAGGCAGCAGUAGUGAAUGUUGCGCAAUGGAGGCAAGCCGAAUACAACCAAGCCGCGUGUGUGAAGAAAGACGUCGGGUUAUAAAGUACUGUCAGCAGGGAGGCGUUACCCACAGAAGAAGAACCGGCUAACUCCGUACCAGCAGCCGCGGUAAUGC
rnacentral:rRNA from 1 species